rnacentral:rRNA from 1 species
CCAGACUCCUACGGGAGGCAGCAGUGGGGAAUAUUGGGCAAUGGAGGAAACUCUUACCCAGCAAUGCCGCGUGAAUGAAGAAGGUCUUCGGGUUGUAAAGUUCUUUAAUUGGGGACGAAAAAAAUGACGGUACCCAAGGAAUAAGCCCUGGCUAACUCCGUGCCAGCAGCCGCGGUAAUACGUAGGUGGCGAGCGUUAUCCGGAAUGAUUGGGCGUAAAGGGUGCGUAGGCGGCCUGCUAAGUCUGGAGUGAAAGGUACCGGCUCAACCGGUACAGGCUCUGGAAACUGGCGGGCUAGAGAGCAGGAGAGGGCGGUGGAACUCCAUGUGUAGCGGUAAAAUGCGUAGAUAUAUGGAAGAACACCAGUGGCGAAGGCGGCCGCCUGGCCUGUUACUGACGCUGAGGCACGAAAGCGUGGGGAGCAAAUAGGAUUAGAUACCCGGGUAC